GUCAAAUUAGAAGUUGCCUCUCUACAGUCAGGCAAAGGAGAAAGUUGGAAUAAGAAAAGCACACAUCCUGUUUCAAAGACAGAGAGAGGAAGAGCCAUGGAAAUCUACAAAAGAGGGCUCAGGAAACAUCACAGAAGAGGGGAUGGAAAGGAUUGUUAAGAGGCAGAGAAGACUGGUGAAACAAGGUCUUCUGGACACUCAUGAACUCACGCAGCUGUGGUUGCCCGCACAAGACCUGCACAGAACACAAGAACUUGGGGGCAAGAUCUCAGAUAGUGAAGUAAUCUCCAAGAAAACACGGGAGCUGCCAGACACUGCGUGCCUAACAGGAUGGCUGCUAAGAUCCUCCUGAAGUGACUUCAUCACAGACACUUGUUGUUGACCAGCUAUUAGAGGACCAAAUUACUGU
rnacentral:lncRNA from 1 species